UUACGGUCAAAUCAGGUUGAACCACCAGUUUCCGUGCGACCAGCGAAGUAAAGCAACGUCGAACCUGGUCAGUACCUAGGUGGGUGACUGUUUGGGAAUACCAGAUGGUGUAAG